GCGAUGGUAGUUUAGCGGACUAGAACACCACAAACAUCCUUAUUCAUAACUUAUCUCUUUGAGGUCGCUGAAUCGAGGGUUAUCGCCUUCCACGCGGGAAACACGGGUUCAAAUCCCGUCCAUCGCA
rnacentral:tRNA from 1 species